AACGAACGCUGGCGGCAUGCCUAACACAUGCAAGUCGAACGAGACCUUCGGGCCUAGUGGCGCACGGGUGCGUAACGCGUGGGAACCUGCCUUUAGGUUCGGAAUAACUCCCCGAAAGGGGUGCUAAUACCGGAUAAUGUCUUCGGACCAAAGAUUUAUCGCCUUUGGAUGGGCUCGCGUUGCAUUAGCUAGUUGGUAGGGUAAAAGCCUACCAAGGCGACGAUCCAUAGCUGGUCUGAGAGGAUGAUCAGCCACACUGGGAGUGGGACACGGCCCAGACUCCUACGGGAUGCAGCAGUGGGUAAUAUUGGACAGUGGGCUGAAUCAUGAACCACCUAUGCUGCGUGAGUGAUGUAGGCCUUAGGGUUGUAAAGUUCUUUUACCCGGGAUGAUAAUGACGGUACCGGGAGAAUAAGCACCGGCUAACUCCGUG
rnacentral:rRNA from 1 species